rnacentral:rRNA from 1 species
GACGAACGCUGGCGGCGUGCUUAACACAUGCAAGUCGAACGGAGUGGCGAACGGGUGAGUAACACGUGGGUGACCUGCCCUGCACUUCGGGAUAAGCCUGGGAAACUGGGUCUAAUACCGGAUAGUGUGGGAUGGGCGCGCGGCCUAUCAGCUUGUUGGUGGGGUAAUGGCCUACCACGGCGGCGACGGGUAGCCGGCCUGGGAGGGUGGACAGCCACAUGGGGACUAAGGGACGGCCCAGACUGCAACAGGGGGCAGCGGUGGGGAAUAUUGCACAAUGGGCGGAAGCCUGAUGCAGCGACGCCGCGUGGGGGAUGACGGCCUUCGGGUUGGAAACUCCUUUCACCAUCGACGCGGUAGAUGGAGAAGAAGCACCGGCUAACUACGUGCCAGCCGCCGCGGUAAUAC